rnacentral:rRNA from 1 species
GAUGAACGCUGGCGGCGUGCCUAAUACAUGCAAGUCGAGCGAACAGACGAGGAGCUUGCUCCUCUGACGUUAGCGGCGGACGGGUGAGUAACACGUGGAUAACCUACCUAUAAGACUGGGAUAACUUCGGGAAACCGGAGCUAAUACCGGAUAAUAUAUUGAACCGCAUGGUUCAAUAGUGAAAGACGGUUUUGCUGUCACUUAUAGAUGGAUCCGCGCCGCAUUAGCUAGUUGGUAAGGUAACGGCUUACCAAGGCAACGAUGCGUAGCCGACCUGAGAGGGUGAUAGGCCACACGUGAACUGAGACACGGUCCAGACUCUUACGGGAGGCACCAGUAGGGCAUCUUCCGAAAUGGGCGAAAGCAUGACGGAGCAACGCCGCGUGAGUGAUGAAGGUCUUCGGAUCGUAAAACUCUGUUAUUAGGGAAGAACAAAUGUGUAAGUAACUAUGCACGGCUUGACGGUACCUAAUCCGAAAGCCACGGCUAACUACGUG